GUAAGUAAUGAAUGCUAAUCAAAUGAAUGGCUUUAUUAACAAGAAAGUGAAAGAGUGGCUUUCUACUUGCACCACCACUAACCACUUGCUUUUGUCUUUGUAAUCAUUUCAAUACUGGGAGAGAGUCUCAACAUCUGGCUCCUCUCUUUUGGCUUGCACAGGCUCUUCAGCUUUUUGUUUCCUUGAGGAAGAAAAUUUAAAAUCUCCUUGCCUGGUUUUAUGUUUGGAGGUGAUCCUGGCCUGAGGCCUUCUCAGCUGACACACACUGUGCCCCACAGGGAACCUGGUCACUCACAUCAUGCCUUGAGUUCCAGACAGAAAAGAAAUUGCUUCCUAAAAGUGGAUGCAAAGGGAGUCAGAAGAGGAAGAUGAGGAUGGAGAGUGUAGAGAGGUCAGUGUUCCUUAAAGGUACAGCCCCACCGAGCUCUCACACCAGCCCAAUGAAGUCAAAUUGAGUGCAAUUUCCAUUUCACAGGCAGGAUGUUGGAAGGAGGGUGGACUUUGGAAUCAGAAAACCUGGAAAUCCUAACUCCACUGCUUACUGGAAGACUGGAGGCCCACUGGGAACUUGAGUUCUGAUGUCCGAGGCUUUGUAAGGACUGGAUAGGAAUUGUU
rnacentral:lncRNA from 1 species